UCUUAUCGAGUUAUUGUCUCACUAAGACGAAGAUUGACGAGUUGAGCUCAUUUUAGAUAAUUUAACAUUCAAUUUUAAUUCCCUCUUGGGAAUUGUCUACGGUUCGUUUUCCAUGCAAUUCCCAACGGUGGAAGAAUGUGAUUUCGACCGGCAAUUUUUAUUUGACGAGUAUAUGUGGCCAUUUCUCAUCGUUACGAUUUAAAAAAGGUAUCGUAGAGAAGCUAAAUAACUCUUUCGUCCUAUGUAAAAAUUGAAUUGUUUAGCUAAGUUUAUGAUGCACGACAGCCUGUUGAAUUUCCGUAGCGUUUUUUUUAGACACCUUAAGGGUAUAAUAAUUAUUGGCUUGGAUUUGGCAAAGAUGUUGGAUUGGGUUUGGCAUUGUUUAAAAUUUUCAUCCAACGUUGUUGUGGCGUCGUUUAAGCACCAGCUGUGUUG